rnacentral:rRNA from 1 species
UUUGAUGGCGACCGGCGCACGGGUGAGUAACACGUGUCCAACCUGCCGAUGACUCGGGGAUAGCCUUUCGAAAGAAAGAUUAAUACCCGAUGGCAUAGUUCUUCCGCAUGGUAGAACUAUUAAAGAAUUUCGGUCAUCGAUGGGGAUGCGUUCCAUUAGGUUGUUGGCGGGGUAACGGCCCACCAAGCCUUCGAUGGAUAGGGGUUCUGAGAGGAAGGUCCCCCACAUUGGAACUGAGACACGGUCCAA